GGGAUAAUACUGACGUUCAUGCUCGAAAGCGUGGGUAGCAAACAGGAUUAGAUACCCUGGUAGUCCACGCCCUAAACGAUGUCAAUUAGCUGUUGGGGCACUUGAUGCCUUAGUAGCGAAGCUAACGCGUGAAAUUGACCGCCUGGGGAGUACGGUCGCAAGAUUAAAACUCAAAGGAAUUGACGGGGACCCGCACAAGCGGUGGAUGAUGUGGAUUAAUUCGGUGCAACGCGAAGAACCUUACCUGGUCUUGACAUGUACGGAAUCUUCCAGAGACGGAAGAGUGCCUUCGGGAGCCGUAACACAGGUGCUGCAUGGCUGUCGUCAGCUCGUGUCGUGAGAUGUUGGGUUNNNNNNNNNANNNANCGCAACCCUUGUCAUUAGUUGCCACCAUUUAGUUGGGCACUCUAAUGAGACUGCCGGUGACAAACCGGAGGAAGGUGGGGAUGACGUCAAGUCCUCAUGGCCCUUAUGACCAGGGCUUCACACGUCAUACAAUGGUCGGUACAGAGGGUAGCCAAGCCGCGAGGUGGAGCCAAUCUCAGAAAACCGAUCGUAGUCCGGAUUGCACUCUGCAACUCGAGNGCAUGAAGUCGGAAUCGCUAGUAAUCGCAGGUCAGCAUACUGCGGNGAAUACGUUCCCGGG
rnacentral:rRNA from 1 species